AUAUUGCACAAUGGGCGCAAGCCUGAUGCAGCAACGCCGCGUGGGGGAUGACGGCCUUCGGGUUGUAAACCUCUUUUAGUAGGGAAGAAGCGAAAGUGACGGUACCUGCAGAAAAAGCACCGGCCAACUACGUGCCAGCAGCCGCGGUAAUACGUAGGGUGCAAGCGUUGUCCGGAAUUAUUGGGCGUAAAGAGCUCGUAGGCGGUUUGUCGCGUCUGCUGUGAAAUCCUGAGGCUCAACCUUGGGCGUGCAGUGGGUACGGGCAGACUAGAGUGCGGUAGGGGAGAUUGGAAUUCCUGGUGUAGCGGUGGAAUGCGCAGAUAUCAGGAGGAACACCGAUGGCGAAGGCAGAUCUCUGGACUGUAACUGACGCUGAGGCGCGAAAGCGUGGGUAGCGAACA
rnacentral:rRNA from 1 species